rnacentral:misc_RNA from 1 species
UGGUUCUGGCAUCGAUGAAGAACGCAGCGAAAUGCGAUAAGUAAUGUGAAUUGCAGAAUUCCGUGAAUCAUCGAAUCUUUGAACGCACAUUGCGCCCGCCGGCAUUCUGGCGGGCAUGCCUGUUCGAGCGUCAUUUCAACCCUCAAGCCCCCCGGGGCUUGGCGUUGGGGAUCGGCCCCGCCCUCGCCGGCGCCGCCCCCGAAAUUCAGUGGCGGUCACGCCGCGGCUUCCUCUGCGCAGUAGCAAACGCCUCGCAGCUGGGACGCGGUGCGGCCACGCCGCCGGUUCAGACGAGCCGGUCACAACUUCUCGUGGUUGACCUCGGAUCAGGUAGGAAUACCCGCUGA